GAAUCUGGAUUGGUAUCGACU
rnacentral:misc_RNA from 1 species